UUGGGCGGAGAUUAUGGAGCUUGCUUUAUAUAACUUAGCAGCGAACGGGUGAGUAACACGUAGAUAAUCUAUCCUAUACUGGGGGAUAGCCCGAUGAAAGUUGGAUUAAUACCGCAUAUAGCUAUAUAGUUGCAUGAUUAUGUAGUGAAAGAUUUAUUGGUAUAGGAGGAGUCUGCGGCACAUUAGCUAGUAGGUGAGGUAAAGGCUUACCUAGGCGACGAUGUGUAGCCGGUCUGAGAGGAUGAACGGCCACAAUGGAACUGAGACACGGUCCAUACUCCUACGGGAGGCAGCAGUGGGGAAUAUUGCACAAUGGGGGAAACCCUGAUGCAGCAACGCCGCGUGAGUGAAGAAGGUUUUCGGAUUGUAAAGCUCUGUUAGCAGGGAAGAGGAAGGACGGUACCUGCAGAGGAAGCCACGGCUAACUACGUGCCAGCAGCCGCGGUAAUACGUAGGUGGCAAGCGUUGUUCGGAAUAACUGGGCGUAAAGGAUGCGUAGGCGGUUAAACAAGUUAUAUGUUAAAUAUAUAGGCUUGACCUGUAGAAAGCAUAUAAAACUGUUUAACUAGAGUGCAGGAGAGGUAAGUGGAAUUCCUAGUGUAGCGGUGAAAUGCGUAGAGAUUAGGAAGAACACCAGUGGCGAAGGCGACUUACUGGACUGUAACUGACGCUGAGGCAUGAGAGCAUGGGGAGCAAACAGGAUUUAGAUACCCUGGUAGUCCAUGCUGUAAACGAUGGGUACUAGGUGUGGGUUGUGAAUAACAAUUCGUGCCGUCGCAAACGCAAUAAGUA
rnacentral:rRNA from 1 species